CUGAGAUGGCUUUACCCACUGUCUGGUGGCUGGGGCUCUCUCCACGUGCUGUCUGAUCAUUCGGUAUUUUAACUGGAUUUCUGUACUUGGCAGUGGGUGUUCUAAAGGGGAAAGGUAGAAGUUGCAGGGCCUCUUGCAGUCUAGGCUCUGAAGUCGCAUGAUGUUACAUCUUUUGCAUUCUGUUGGUUAAAGCAAGUAACAAGGACAGUCCAGAUUUAAGGGGUCAGGGGAAAAGUCUCACCUUUGGAUUAAGAGGAGCAGCAAAGUCAAUUUCAUAAAUGACCUUAAGAAUGUAAGUAAAGCCCUAGCUGGUUUGGCUGAGUGGAUAGAGUGUUGGCCUGUGGACUGAAGAGUCCCAGGUUCGAUGUCAUGAAUGCAGCUGCUGGCUGUGGCUGGCAAGUCUGAAAUGGCCUUACCCACUGUCUGGGGACUGGUGGCUGGGGCUCUCUCCACGUGCUGUCUGAUCAUUCAGUAUUUUAACUGGAUUUCUAUACUUGGCAGUGGGUGUUCUAAAGGGGAAAGGUAGAAGUUGUAGGGUCCUGGUUUCGAUUCUGGUCAAGGGCACAUGCCCGGGUUGCAGGCUCGAUCCCCAGCGGGGGGCUUGCAGGAGGCAGCCGAUCAAUGAUUCUCUCUCAUCAUUGAUGUUUUCUCUCUCCCUUCCUUUCUGAAAUCAAUAAAAAUAUUAAAAAAUAAAAAAUAAAUGAGGCCCUCUUAUAAAAAAUGUAAAUAGACACAAGAGGGGACAUGACAAUGGUAGCAAUCUGUCACAUAAAAAUGACAAUAGGUUUAAUAGAUUGGUUGGAUGUCCUUUUUGUUCUUACAUUUUCCUAUGUUCUGAAUUUGGUAAGUCUGGUGUAUUUCUUUGUGAAAAAAUUCAGAGUUGGCUUCUAUGAACUCUGGACCUUUUCCUCACUAGUACAGUUUUGUAGACUAAAUUUCCAGGCACUUUAGUCAUUUGGUGUAUUGUUUUUAAAUAUCUAAAUAGUAUUUUAGCAAUGGGUCACCUCCUAGAGAGGAGCCUCUCCUUACUCCUGCUUUAACACGUUUCCCUACAUUGCCUCAAGUUAAAAAUCACCCGGAAUACUCUCUCCAGAGAGAUUCUUGGGCCUCAAUCCAGACCUACUGAGUCCAUUUCCAGGGCAGAUGUCCCAUGAUCCUCAUCAGGCAACUUUGGGAAUAAUUACACAAGAGUAAGUUGAAUUCUGCUCACAUUGAGUCACUGUGCUAAUGCCCCUUACCCCGUUCUCCUCUUGUUUAAUCUGAAAUUGUCUAAUGAUACACAUGGUCACAUUUGAAACAUCUUUGGUAAUACAGUAUAUGGUUUAUUACAGGUAGAAGAAUUUGGUUUGAACACCGACCUAAAUAAUUGAUUUUGCUGAGAAUGAAUGUGUGCCUGCAGAGUUACCUUGUCUGAGGGAAAUUGUAUCUUCUCUUGGACUGUCCUAAAGCUGGGGAUACAUUCAUUUUUAAAAAUCAAUGCCCAGUAGAAUAAUUUGGAAACCUACCAAGGGAGAGAGUAGGCUUCUGAACAAUUUAUAUUUUCUUUGUACUUGGGGAAAAUGUUCUCAAAACAUCCAUCUACCCAACUGUUCAGGACCAUAAUAAUUGUCCCUGUCUGUGGCUUCUACUAACUCUACAGCUUUAUAUACCUGAACUUUGCUCUUUUUCCCCCCGUAUGUUUCUGAAAACUCAGGAGGAGCUAAGCUGUUAACAUAUUUCAUCAAGAAAUGUGUCUUGAUGGUUUCUAACUCCAAAAUUUCAAAUGUUGUCAUAGCAAACCCCCGAUUGGAUGUACCUGUAUUUUACGAUGACUUAGAAACUUCUUUUGCAAGUCAGCAAAAGUUGUAGAAUGAUUUGAGUUUAUUUUUGGAAGAUACACGGUAACAAGAGUUCAUGAGUUCUGCGUCCCAGCCUGGACGCUGACCAUGGAGAAGUAGAUGCCCUUCUGUGCAAGCAGCUGCUGAUGGGUGCCGUGCUCCCUGAUCUUGCCGUUCUGAAACACCACGAUCAGGUCUGCGUUCUGGAUGGUGGACAGGCGGUGGGCGAUCACAAUGCAGGUGCGGCCUUCUCUGGCUUUGUCCAGGGCUUCUUGGACAAUCUAUUAAUAAAUCAGGUCAGAAGUCUUACCUUAAUUAUAUAAAUAGGUGUUAGCAUUAAAGGAAAUUAAAAAAUGUUACCAUCCAAGCAAUAAAAUUUCUUUCAUUUCUUAUCUCUUUGAAUAUUUGCCUUUAUACCUGUGUAUUAAUAUAACUUGACAUUCCAUACAGUUAUGUUCUUUUCAAUUAUAGUAAAAAUGGGUUGUCACUAUAAUCUUCACAAGUAGUUAAAACUUCUAACUAGUCACAAAAUAUAUUGCUUAACUAGUUCCCUUUUAUUGAGUAUUGUUUUCCGUUAGAAUUAAUAUGCUAAAACGAUUUAUGCAGCCUUUUCUUUUGAAUGCGUUACUUUUAGUGUGUUUCUAAAAGUAAUAAUGAUCAUUUUAGAAAAAUUGGAAAAUACUGAAAGGAAUAAGAAAAUAUUCUACCUCAAAAUAACCACUGUCUAAAUUUCUAUUUACUUUUUUCUGUGCUUGCAGAUUAUUUUUUUUCAUGGCUAAUAGCACAAAAACCUGUUUUACAAAUUAAAUGGGAAGUGAGGUGGAAGGCCAUACUUUUUCACUUUCAGUAUCCAGAGCGGAUGUAGCUUCAUCCAACAGCAGGAUUCGAGGUUGUCUGAUGAGGGCCCGGGCAAUCGCAAUCCUCUGUUUUUGACCUCCAGAGAGUUGAGUCCCCUUAUCUCCCACUUUAGUGUCAUAUUUCUGCAAGUCGGUCAACAAAAUUAAUUAAGGUCCUAACCCAGCAAAAUUACUAAUGUUAUAAUGAGUAAACUUUUACUUAACAUAUGACACUACUACUUAUAUGGAAAAAUAAUUUGGAAUCAAUAAAAAGUUUCUGUAACAG